AGAGUUUGAUCCUGGCUCAGGAUGAACGCUGGCUACAGGCUUAACACAUGCAAGUCGAGGGGAAACGACGGGGAAGCUUGCUUCCCCGGGCGUCGACCGGCGCACGGGUGAGUAACGCGUAUCCAACCUGCCUCUGACUGAGGGAUAACCCGUCGAAAGUCGGCCUAAUACCUCAUGGCAUCGUCUGCGGGCAUCCAACGACGAUUAAAGAUUUCAUCGGUCAGGGAUGGGGAUGCGUCUGAUUAGCUUGUUGGCGGGGUAACGGCCCACCAAGGCGACGAUCAGUAGGGGUUCUGAGAGGAAGGUCCCCCACAUUGGAACUGAGACACGGUCCAAACUCCUACGGGAGGCAGCAGUGAGGAAUAUUGGUCAAUGGGCGGAAGCCUGAACCAGCCAAGUAGCGUGCAGGAUGACGGCCCUAUGGGUUGUAAACUGCUUUUAUGCGGGGAUAAAGUGAGGGACGUGUCCUUCAUUGCAGGUACCGCAUGAAUAAGGACCGGCUAAUUCCGUGCCAGCAGCCGCGGUAAUACGGAAGGUCCGGGCGUUAUCCGGAUUUAUUGGGUUUAAAGGGAGCGUAGGCCGUGGAUUAAGCGUGUUGUGAAAUGCAGGUGCUCAACGUCUGCACUGCAGCGCGAACUGGUCCACUUGAGUGUGCACAACGCAGGCGGAAUUCGUCGUGUAGCGGUGAAAUGCUUAGAUAUGACGAAGAACUCCGAUUGCGAAGGCAGCUUGCGGGAGCACAACUGACGCUGAAGCUCGAAAGUGCGGGUAUCGAACAGGAUUAGAUACCCUGGUAGUCCGCACGGUAAACGAUGGAUGCCCGUUGUCAGGCUGUUUCAGCCUGGUGACCAAGCGAAAGCAUUAAGCAUCCCACCUGGGGAGUACGCCGGCAACGGUGAAACUCAAAGGAAUUGACGGGGGCCCGCACAAGCGGAGGAACAUGUGGUUUAA
rnacentral:rRNA from 1 species